CCGAGGGCCCAGCAGCGCCCGGCACGCGUCCACCGGCGGCCGGAGCGAGGCCUGCGCCUGUGAGGGUGGGCCCCGGACUGCCAGCUCUCCGAGGGCCCGCGGCUGAGGGCCGCUGGAGUCACUGACCUCGGACGCGGCGACCGACGAUUGCCUGUCACUGGUCUCCUAUGACACUCUCAUAAGGGUGUUGUUGGCCAUGUCUAUCACCACUGCGUGUUCACCUGCAAGCCUCGCUCCCUUUUGUGACAUCCGCCCCACGGCUGCCAUGGGGCCCAGCGAAGAGAUGUGGGGAGGUUCCUCAUCCAUGCUGACCCCACACGCAUCUGCAAGUUGGGAAGGUCAUGCGUGUGGCAGGACUUCCCUGUGUGUGCUGGCCGCAGUCAGGGGCACCUGUGAGCUGCAGAAAGGUAAGUCUUUAUUUUUAAAUGUACCUUGUUCACCCAGCAUGGGAUUGGAGAACACAGAAGUACUUCCACCCCCAGCUUCAUGUUGCCCACCCUAUAGGUGUCCAUGCUUGCCCAGUUCUUGAAUUGCUUCGUUUCUGCUUUGUUUUCAAGAUCCAGCCCAAACAGGCAUCUGGUGGGUGUCCCCUCGAGACCCUUCCUUUCCCGUCUGCCCUUCUGCCCUCACACCUCCGGCCCCCACACGGCACGCUUUCUGAGGGUGGAGGGCUUCUGGCUGGUGUCUGCCUGUCCCCCGACACCUAUCACAGGCCCUGACCCUGCAGGCUCUCAGUAAACUGUGAGUGAGGCCACAGAUCACCCAGGAGGACCUGCAAGAUGCAGCUGACGACACGCGGCUGCUGGGUGAGGGCUGUUGGGGGCUUGGAGUAGGGGCCGUAUUCCUGCUCGACUUUGUAAACACAUCACUUUCAAAAGCACACAUCCUGAGCACAGCAGGAGGCAGGGCCAGCACCCUGUGUCCACUCCCCAGGCCACAUGUCCCCGUCCUCACUGACCUGGCAGACGGAAGGGCCACAUGGGACAAACUUCUCAUCCUCACUGGGCUGGGGGUGCUGGCCUCUGCGGUUCUGCCGAGGAUGGGCCUGGCACCUGAGUCAAGACCUAGGGGAUCAGGGAGCCAAGGUAGGUGGUGGGCCAUGUGCUCAGGCCAUUUAUUUCCGUGGAGUCUUGGGGACUCUGGAGAAUGACCCCCACGUGUGUCCGGGGUUCAACUGUGGGCACCAUGAAAUGGACUCGGGGUGAAUGUCAUUACAACCCAACCCCCUAUGCAUCCCCUGACCUGGGGGCUGUGCUGCUUUCCUGGUUCCCAGGAGUCGGCGUAGCCCUACGGCUGGUCCUCACUGUCCGGGUGUGGGACUUUCACAAGGCACAGUUAUCCAGGUCAGUCCCCUCAGGAGAGCACAAGGAGAACCCAUGGGGCCACUGUGUUUUGUGUCCCCCCCACCUCACUCUGGUCCAGCAGUCAUGGGGCCGGAAAGCGACUUGGGAGUGGGAAUCGGGCAAGACUCGAGCCCUGGCAUGGUCUCCUUGAGUUACAUCCACAGCAGUAUGUGCCCACCAGGUUGCAGCCAUUGUCCAUCUAGUCAUCUGGGUGUACCCCUGGGUGCCCCCAAACUGGCAUGUCAAAAAUUACCUUUGGCCCCCACGCAGCCCCAGCCUGCCCCCCCAGCUCUGCUGCACCCUCACUUCUGGAACCAACUCUGGGAGCACACCCUGUCUCCACCCUCACGGCACACCCACACCAGCUUCAGCCGCUUUACACAGCAAACCGUCAUCCACCACACAGCCUAGUCUGAACCACAGUGACCUUCACGUCCUCCGUGCCGUGUCCUCAUCCCACUGCCCUCGGGAUAAAGUCCCCACUCCACAUCAGGCCCAUGCAACCCUGCAUGGCUCCCUACCCCGCCCAGCACCCAUACUCUGUGCACAUGCACACACACAUGCGUGCGCACACACAGUAGUACAGCGAUGGAGGCCAUGUGAUGGUGUAAGAAGAGACAGAUCUGUAAAUGGUGUAGAGAGUCUGGUAGACCAUUAUGUGUCUAGAGACUUAGAUUAUGAUAUCAGUCAAGUCAGUCCCCACCCUUGGCUCUGAGCUGACCUCAUGGCACACUUAAGCCAGCAGGACGUGGGGUAGGGACAGCAUGCCGGUGUGAGCCCAGGCCCCUCUCUCAGGUCUCAGGCUCACGGUGGACCCUGAGCUAGCCUGCUGGAUGCCCUGACAUAGCUGGGAUGAGAGACCCCCUGGGGAGAGCCGAGCUACCCAGCCCCAGCCCACCAGUCCCAAGAGCUGGCCAUAGCUGCAUGGGGGGCUGGGAGAGACCAGUGGAAUGGACCCCCAGCCUAAAUCCCUGGCCUGCAGGAUCUGGGGCUGAAUAAAUGGUUUAUGUCUCAGCCACUAGGUCUGGGGUGGCUUAUGACACAGCAGGAGCUAAGUGACAUGCCUCUCUUACAUUCACUGGUUUUAGGAGACUCACAGAUGUGUGCAACCAUCACCACAGUCAGUUUUAGAACUUUCACCCCAAAAGCCCUGUACAUGUUAGCUGCGACCCCGCCUCUCACCCCCAGCUCUAGGCAACUACUAAUCUACUUUCUCUCUCUGUAGGACACCUGCUUCUGAACUUCCUUUUUUUAAGGAGCAUUCCUGCCUUAAUAAGCUUUGGGUUCCACAAAACCUGCAUCUACCUCUGUUGUGGUGUCCUGGAAACCAAGAAGAGAGACUAAUGGGGAGAGGGGAGUCAGCAGUGUUACUGCUAUCUGGAGAUGGAGUAACAGGAGAGACUAGAAAAGCAUUGGCCCUGAGUUUGAAGUUUGCCUGAAAUAUGCUUUGCCUGCUGGUAGAAACUUCACGAACUAAUGCGAACAUGUUAGAAAUAUUCCUGUUAACAUCAGGAACGUGGCAAGGAUACCACUGGGUACCCAUACUCAGCGUUGUGUUGAUGGUCCUGACGAUGCAGUAGGAUGAGAAUAAAGAAAUAUAUCUACAGAAAA